rnacentral:rRNA from 2 species
UGGGGAAUAUUGGGCAAUGGGGGGAACCCUGACCCAGCAACGCCGCGUGAAGGAAGAAGGUUUUCGGAUUGUAAACUUCUGUCCUUGGUGAAGAGGAAGAGACGGUAGCCAAGGAGGAAGCCCCGGCUAACUACGCGCCAGCAGCCGCGGUAAUACGUAGGGGGCGAGCGUUGUCCGGAAUGACUGGGCGUAAAGGGCGCGUAGACGGCUGUCUAAGUCUGGAGUGAAAGUCCUGCUUUCAAGGUGGGAAUUGCUUUGGAGACUGGAUGGCUUGAGUGCGGAAGAGGUAAGUGGAAUUCCCAGUGUAGCGGUGAAAUGCGUAGAGAUUGGGAGGAACACCAGUGGCGAAGGCGGGUAACUGGACUGCAACUGACGCUGAGGCGCGAAAGUGUGGGGAGCAAACAGG